rnacentral:rRNA from 1 species
UACGUAGGGUGCGAGCGUUAAUCGGAAUACUGGGCGUAAAGCGUGCGCAGGCGGUUUUGUAAGCCAGAUGUGAAAGCCCCGGGCUCAACCUGGGAACUGCAUUUGGGACUGCAAGGCUGGAGUACGGCAGAGGGAGGUGGAAUUCCACGUGUAGCAGUGAAAUGCGUAGAGAGUGUGGAGGAACACCGAUGGCGAAGGCAGCCUCCGUGGGCUAGUACUGACGCUCAUGCACGAAAGCGU